GCAUAUCAGAAGGCACACCCGGAGAACUGAAACAUCUUAGUACCCGGAGGAAGAGAAAGAAAAUUCGAUUCCCUUAGUAGCGGCGAGCGAAACGGGAAGAGCCCAAACCAAAAAGCUUGCUUGUUGGGGUUGUAGGACACUCUAUACGGAGUUACAAAGGACGACAUUAGACGAAUCAUCUGGAAAGAUGAAUCAAAGAAGGUAAUAAUCCUGUAGUCGAAAAUGUUGUCUCUCUUGAGUGGAUCCUGAGUACGACGGAGCACGUGAAAUUCCGUCGGAAUCUGGGAGGACCAUCUCCUAAGGCUAAAUACUCUCUAGUGACCGAUAGUGAACCAGUACCGUGAGGGAAAGGUGAAAAGCACCCCGGAAGGAGAGUGAAAUAGAACCUGAAACCGUGUGCUUACAAGUAGUCAGAGCCCGUUAAUGGGUGAUGGCGUGCCUUUUGUAGAAUGAACCGGCGAGUUACGAUUUGAUGCAAGGUUAAGCAGUAAAUGUGGAGCCGUAGCGAAAGCGAGUCUGAAUAGGGCGUUUAGUAUUUGGUCGUAGACCCGAAACCAGGUGAUCUACCCUUGGUCAGGUUGAAGUUCAGGUAACACUGAAUGGAGGACCGAACCGACUUACGUUGAAAAGUGAGCGGAUGAACUGAGGGUAGCGGAGAAAUUCCAAUCGAACCUGGAGAUAGCUGGUUCUCUCCGAAAUAGCUUUAGGGCUAGCCUCAAGUGAUGAUUAUUGGAGGUAGAGCACUGUUUGGACGAGGGGCCCCUCUCGGGUUACCGAAUUCAGACAAACUCCGAAUGCCAAUUAAUUUAACUUGGGAGUCAGAACAUGGGUGAUAAGGUCCGUGUUCGAAAGGGAAACAGCCCAGACCACCAGCUAAGGUCCCAAAAUAUAUGUUAAGUGGAAAAGGAUGUGGCGUUGCCCAGACAACUAGGAUGUUGGCUUAGAAGCAGCCAUCAUUUAAAGAGUGCGUAAUAGCUCACUAGUCGAGUGACACUGCGCCGAAAAUGUACCGGGGCUAAACAUAUUACCGAAGCUGUGGAUUGUCCUUUGGACAAUGGUAGGAGAGCGUUCUAAGGGCGUUGAAGCAUGAUCGUAAGGACAUGUGGAGCGCUUAGAAGUGAGAAUGCCGGUGUGAGUAGCGAAAGACGGGUGAGAAUCCCGUCCACCGAUUGACUAAGGUUUCCAGAGGAAGGCUCGUCCGCUCUGGGUUAGUCGGGUCCUAAGCUGAGGCCGACAGGCGUAGGCGAUGGAUAACAGGUUGAUAUUCCUGUACCACCUAUAAUCGUUUUAAUCGAUGGGGGGACGCAGUAGGAUAGGCGAAGCG
rnacentral:rRNA from 1 species